rnacentral:lncRNA from 1 species
GAUUGAUGACUAAAGUUUUAAAAGUAAAAUUUUGGUCACUGAAUUUAUAUCAAUGUCUUCGACUGUACGUUAAAGUUUAAAAUGACAAGUUUUGAUCACUGAAUAUGUUACUUGCUGUAACGUAAAUAAACAAAGAAAAUAGAUGGCAAGCAAGUUCAUUUGAACUAACUCAUAAAUAUCUUUUGCGUUUCCGAAUGAAUUUCUCUAAAAUGUACAUUCAUUUAUUUUCAACAUUAACCAAUUAAUGUGCGUUAACC